GGGAUUGCCUCAGUAACGGCGAGUGAAGCGGCAACAGCUCAAAUUUUAAAGCCGGCGUCCUCGACGCCCGCGUUGUAAUUUGGAGAGGCAUCUUCGGUUUGGGCGCCAGCCUAUGUUCCUUGGAACAGGACGUCACAGAGGGUGAGAAUCCCGUGCUUGGCUGGCUGUCCCUCUCCAUGUGAAGUGUCUUCGACGAGUCGAGUUGUUUGGGAAUGCAGCUCAAAAUGGGUGGUAAAUUUCAUCUAAAGCUAAAUAUUGGCGGGAGACCGAUAGCGCACAAGUAGAGUGAUCGAAAGAUGAAAAGCACUUUGAAAAUAGAGUUAAAAAGUACGUGAAAUUGUUGAAAGGGAAGCGCUUGAGACCAGACUCGGCCGACGGCGAUCAGCGGCCCUUCUGGGCUGUGCACUCGUCAUCGGUUCGGGCCAGCAUCGGUCGAGACGGCGGGAUAAAGGCCCGAGGAAUGUGGCUCCUCUCGGGGAGUGUUAUAGCCUCGGGCGCAAUGCCGCCCGCCUCGACCGAGGACCGCGCUCUUUUGCUAGGAUGCUGGCGUAAUGGUCUUCAGCGACCCGUCUUGAAACACGGACCAAGGAGUCUAACAUCUAUGCGAGUGUUUGGGUGUCAAACCCUUGCGCGUAAUGAAAGUGAACGGAGGUGGGAACCCCUCCUCUGGGGGGGCGCACCAUCGACCGAUCCUGAUGUCUUCGGAUGGAUUUGAGUAGGAGCAUAGCUGUUGGGACCCGAAAGAUGGUGAACUAUGCCUGAAUAGGGUGAAGCCAGAGGAAACUCUGGUGGAGGCUCGCAGCGGUUCUGACGUGCAAAUCGAUCGUCAAAUUUGGGUAUAGGGGCGAAAGACUAAUCGAACCAUCUAGUAGCUGGUUCCUGCCGAAGUUUCCC
rnacentral:rRNA from 1 species